AAUCAAACUCAUUUGGUUCACCUGCAUGCUGCUGCCCUGCAGUGCCAUCAGGCUCAUGUCAUCCAUCUAUCCUUCAGCAGUUACAUUCAGCACUCAGCCCUGCCCUGCUGACCCGCAGCCUACGUGGCGUCAGGAUCAACAAGCGCCGUAACGACGUGUGAACUUUUGGGCAUUCGGUGACAAAAGCGCCUUUUGGACAGGUGCACCAACCCGCCCCAUCAGCCGGCAUCUGACUCCCUUUGCGAUGCUAAAUAGCUCCAGUUAAAGGCUGAGACAUUCCUUUCUGAUGACUGGCAGCCACCCGGUGCGCGUUUUCAAACACUUUGCGCACCAGCAAUCUCAACACAAGCGAAAUAUGCAAUCAUUUCAAAUGAAACGUAUAACUAAAAGGAGGAAAAAUAUAAAAUUCUGGCCCAAUUAAAACUUUUUUUUUUUUUUUUUUUUUUUAGCGGAACGUGCAGAUUGAAUUUACUGCUCAUUUCCUCCCAGAAUUUCACACCACCCCAAGGCAGGCGCUCAAAUAGCUCCCACUUUACAUCAUCAUUUGGUUCCUGUCUGCUCGCUUAAAUUUUUUAUUUUUUUUUUUUUUUGACCUCGAUUCCCGCAGCGAGGAAGCAGGAGAACAGUGCCGCUCCUAUUCACUCUGAAUGAUCUCCUACUGAGAGCGGAGAGGAGAACAGAUCAGGAUGAACUGAGCUUUUUGUGUUGAGGAGUGGUUAAAGAGGACAGGUCGUUUGUCUCUCCUUUUUUUUUUAUGAACAAAAUGCCUUUUUCCUCAUCUCUGUGUCCGUGUAGAGUGAUAGAGGCUCGAUUGUCUCUGCGGGACCGUUGGAAACAUGUAUGCCUUUUUCAGCCUGAUAUUAAAACAUUUUUUUUUCUGGAAAUAUAAGAAAUAAAUUCAGACUUCUCAGCCGGCACGGGGACGCCCCACCGGAUUUUUGACCCAGCUAAACUAAACUGUAAAUUAAACAGAUAUCAACUCUUG